CCUACGGGUGGUAGCAGUGAGGAAUAUUGGUCAAUGGGCGCGAGCCUGAACCAGCCAAGUAGCGUGAAGGAUGACUGCCCUACGGGUUGUAAACUUCUUUUAUAAAGGAAUAAAGUGAGGCACGUGUGCCUUUUUGUAUGUACUUUAUGAAUAAGGAUCGGCUAACUCCGUUCCAGCAGCCGCGGUAAUACGGAGGAUCCGAGCGUUAUCCGGAUUUAUUGGGUUUAAAUGGAGCGUAGAUGGGUUGUUAAGUCAGUUGUGAAAGUUUGAGGAUCAACCGGAAAAUUGCAAUUGAUACUGGCAGCCUUGAGUACAGUUGAGGUAGGCGGAAUUCGUGGUGUAGCGGUGAAAUGCUGAGAUAGCACGAAGAACUCCGAUUGCGAAGGCAGCUUACUAAACUGCCACUGACAUUGAUGCUAGAAAGUGUGGGUAUCAAACAGGAUUAGAUACCCGAGUAGU
rnacentral:rRNA from 1 species